rnacentral:misc_RNA from 1 species
GAGUUUAUAUUUGGUUGAUUUGUAUAAAGGGGCUGCGUUUCGUUUAAGAUUUGGGGAAUACCCACCAACCCUUUUUGGUUGUUUCGCAUGCCCCUGUUCCCUUUUGGUGUCUUCGAAUAGUGGGUUUUGUGGAUUCUGCUUUGUUUCUUGGCAUGGUGUGAAUAUUUGUGGCAGUGCUUCGAAAUUUGGGGUUCUUUAGAAGUUGUGUUAUGUUGUUCUUUUCCCUUUCUGUCAAAAAGGACAGUUUGGGGAUCUGAGGAAGUUUGGAUGAUUCUAUUGAAG